GACAGAGGGUGCAAACGUUGUUCGGAAUUACUGGGCGUAAAGCGAGUGUAGGCGGUCCGCUAAGUCGGGUGUGAAAGCCCUGGGCUCAACCCAGGAAGUGCACUCGAAACUGGCGGGCUAGAGUAUCGGAGAGGUUGGUGGAAUUCUCGGUGUAGAGGUGAAAUUCGUAGAUAUCGAGAGGAACACCGGUGGCGAAGGCGGCCAACUGGACGAAUACUGACGCUGAGACUCGAAGGCGUGGGGAGCAAACAGG
rnacentral:rRNA from 1 species